GGGAGGUAAAAAUGCAUCGUCGUAGCAAAGUGUUUUGUGCACUUUGCCAGCGGUCCGAAGAGACGAAGAUAACCGGAGCCUUGUCGACUAAAGACGAAGUCACCGCUCAUGAGAACUGUUUGAGGAUGUGUUAAAAGAAGUGAAACGAGGAAACAAGCUGAUUUGCCACUAUUGUAAGAAAAAGGGUGCCACUGCUGGGUGUGAAGUCAAACGCUGCAAGAAGUCCUACCAUUACCC